rnacentral:rRNA from 1 species
UGGUCGGUACAAAGGGUUGCCAAGCCGCGAGGUGGAGACUAAUCCCAUAAACCGAUCGUAGUCCGGAUCGCAGUCUGCAACUCGACUGCGUGAAGUCGGAAUCGCUAGUAAUCGUGAAUCAGAAUGUCACGGUGAAUACGUUCCCGGGCCUU